UACACUCCUACGGGAGGCAGCAGUGGGGAAUAUUGCACAAUGGGCGCAAGCCUGAUGCAGCGACGCCGCGUGGGGGAUGAAGGCCUUCGGGUUGUAAACUCCUUUCGCUAGGGACGAAGCUUUUUUGUGACGGUACCUAGAUAAGAAGCACCGGCUAACUACGUGCCAGCAGCCGCGGUAAUACGUAGGGUGCGAGCGUUGUCCGGAAUUACUGGGCGUAAAGGGCUCGUAGGUGGUUUGUCGCGUCGUCUGUGAAAUUCUGGGGCUUAACUCCGGGCGUGCAGGCGAUACGGGCAUAACUUGAGUGCUGUAGGGGUAACUGGAAUUCCUGGUGUAGCGGUGAAAUGCGCAGAUAUCAGGAGGAACACCGAUGGCGAAGGCAGGUUACUGGGCAGUUACUGACGCUGAGGAGCGAAAGCAUGGGUAGCGAACAGGAUUAGAUACCCCAGUAGUCCCA
rnacentral:rRNA from 1 species